GACGAACGCUGGCGGCGUGCUUAACACAUGCAAGUCGAACGGAAAGGCCCUUCGGGGUACUCGAGUGGCGAACGGGUGAGUAACACGUGGGUGAUCUGCCCUGCACUUUGGGAUAAGCCUGGGAAACUGGGUCUAAUACCGAAUAGGACCACGCGCUUCAUGGGGUGUGGUGGGAAGCUUUUGCGGUGUGGGAUGGGCCCGGGGCCCAUCAUCUUGUUGGUGGGGUAAUGGCGUACCAAGGCGACGACGGGUAGCCGGCCUGAGAGGGUGACCGGCCACACUGGGACUGAGAUACGGCCCAGACUCCAACGGGAGGCAGCAGUGGGGAAUAUUGCACAAUGGGCGCAAGCCUGAUGCAGCGACGCCGCGUGAGGGAUGACGGCCUUCGGGUUGUAAACCUCUUUCAAUAGGGACGAAGCGCAAGUGACGGUACCUAUAGAAGAAGCACCGGCCAACUACGUG
rnacentral:rRNA from 1 species